GACGAACGCUGGCGGCGUGCUAAACACAUGCAAGUCGAGCGGAAAGGCUCCUUCGGGGGUACUCGAGCGGCGAACGGGUGAGUAACACGUGAGUAGUCUGCCCUUGGCUUCGGGAUAGCCACCGGAAACGGUGAUUAAUACCGGAUACGACAACUUCUCGCAUGGGAUGGUUGUGGAAAGUUUUUUCGGCCAGGGAUGUGCUCGCGGCCUAUCAGCUUGAUGGUGAGGUAAUGGCUCACCAUGGCUUCGACGGGUAGCCGGCCUGAGAGGGUGACCGGUCACACUGGGACUGAGACACGGCCCAGACUCCUACGGGAGGCAGCAGUGGGGAAUAUUGGACAAUGGGCGGAAGCCUGAUCCAGCAACGCCGCGUGAGGGAUGACGGCCUUCGGGUUGUAAACCUCUUUCGGUAGGGACGAAGCGCAAGUGACGGUACCUACUAAAGAAGCACCGGCCAACUACGUGCCAGCAGCCGCGGUAA
rnacentral:rRNA from 1 species